AACUUAUAGAAUGAAUUCUUUGGUUCAUCAAGCAAAAUCUUCAGCCACUGAAGUAGUUAACUCAGAGAAAGGUGAAUGCAAGAUUGUUUCAGGGAAGGCUAAAAUCGGUGGUCAAGAAAACAAUGGAAAUGCUAAGGAGAGACAGCGCCUCACAAGUUCCCUGUUUGUAAAGGUGAAUAUGGAUGGAAGUCCAAUUGGAAGGAAAGUCAACCUAACUGCGCACAGUAGCUAUGAAGCCCUAGCACAAACGCUGGAGGAUAUGUUCCAGGGACCGUCUUCAAAUGCGAAAUUGAUACGUUAGUACUCUUAGCCUUUAUAUCCAGUAUUUAAAUUGAAUAUAGGUUAGUCGUAUAUUCUAUUUCUGAAUCUGGGUGACUUGAGUGAAAAUUGUGCAAAAUUCUUCUGUUGAAGUUGGUGCCAUCUUGCUAUGCUUUUUUGGAAUGUCAAUUUAAUGUAGGAAAAACAAUCCAAAAGUUAUGUUUCUUCAUGACAGUUUUGUCAAAUUGUCUGUAGGAAAAGUAAAAAGAUUGGUAUGUUAAAUAAUAGAUGUGUUGGGAUUUGAGAUAACAAUCAAAUGUAUAGUGUUGUGUCACUCAAUGUCCAUUUACUUGGACAAGAGAAUUGAAUUUGUCUAUAUUGCUGACUAGUGAUAGAAACCUUUUGUUUUUCCUUUGAGUAAUGAUGUUCCAUGUAUCUAUAUUUAGGUGCUGGUGGUCAGGAGCAUGAUAUGAUGGUGGGAGAAACUACACCGUCGAAGUUGCUUGAUGGAUCAUUUGAUUUUGCACUCACUUAUGAAGACAAAGAAGGUGACUGGAUGCUUGUUGGGGAUGUUCCUUGGG
rnacentral:lncRNA from 1 species